AAGCCCGUAGCCUAACCUGGAUAGGGCGCCGAGCAAAAUCGCGCGUAAGCCUUCGGAGCCGGAGAUCACCCGGAAACUGCGGGUUCAAAUCCCGUCGGGCCCACCA
rnacentral:tRNA from 1 species